AACGAACGUUGGCGGCGUGCCUAACACAUGCAAGUCGAGCGAAGUGAGUACUACGGUACGAACUUAGCGGCGGACGGGUGAGUAACGCGUGGACAAUCUACCCUGUAGACUGGGAUAACACCUCGAAAGGGGUGCCAAUACCGGAUAAUGUCGAGAAGCGGCAUCGCUUUUCGAAGAAAGGAGAGAAUCCGCUAUAGGAGGAGUCCGCGUCCCAUUAGCUAGUUGGUGAGGGUAACGGCCCACCAAGGCGACGAUGGGUAGCCGGCCUGAGAGGGUGAACGGCCACACUGGAACUGAGACACGGUCCAGACUCCUACGGGAGGCAGCAGUGGGGAAUAUUGUGCAAUGGGGGAAACCCUGACACAGCAACGCCGCGUGAGCGAAGAAGGCCUUCGGGUUGUAAAGCUCAAUAGUAUGGGAAGAUGAUGACGGUACCAUACGAAAGCCCCGGCUAACUACGUGCCAGCCGCCGCAGUAACAC
rnacentral:rRNA from 1 species